rnacentral:misc_RNA from 1 species
GAUGAAGAACGUAGCGAAAUGCGAUAAGUAAUGUGAAUUGCAGAAUUCAGCGAAUCAUCGAAUCUUUGAACGCACAUUGCGCCCCCUGGUAUUCCGGGGGGCAUGCCUGUCCGAGCGUCAUUACAACCCUCAAGCUCAGCUUGGUGUUGGGCCCCGCCGCCCCGGCGGGCCCUAAAGUCAGUGGCGGUGCCGUCCGGCUCCGAGCGUAGUAAUUCUUCUCGCUCUGGAGGUCCGGUCGUGUGCUCGCCAGCAACCCCCAAUUUUUUUCAGGUUGACCUCGGAUCAGGUAGGGAUACCCGCUGAACUUAAGCAUAUCAAUAAGCGGAGGA